CCUACGGGAGGCAGCAGUGGGGAAUAUUGCACAAUGGGGGAAACCCUGAUGCAGCGACGCCGCGUGAGUGAAGAAGUAAUUCGUUAUGUAAAGCUCUAUCAGCAGGGAAGAAAAUGACGGUACCUGAGUAAGACGCCCCAGCUAACUACGUGCCAGCAGCCGCGGUAAUACGUAGGGGGCAAGCGUUAUCCGGAUUUACUGGGUGUAAAGGGAGCGUAGACGGCAGUGCAAGUCUGGAGUGAAAGGCGGGGGCUCAACCCCCGGACUGCUCUGGAAACUGUACGGCUGGAGUGCGGGAGGGGUAAGCGGAAUUCCUAGUGUAGCGGUGAAAUGCGUAGAUAUUAGGAGGAACACCGGUGGCGAAGGCGGCUUACUGGACCGUAACUGACGUUGAGGCUCGAAAGCGUGGGGAGCAAACAGGAUUAGAUACCCGGGUAGUC
rnacentral:rRNA from 1 species